CGUCAGUCCCAUUGCUCACCCUCUUCUCCAACCUCUUCUCCAAAACAAGGUCUAUUGUCUGAGUCCCCAAUCUACUGUAGAUCGUGAGUUUCUUCGCUCAUCUUCUAUUCGAGCUUGUAACCCUCGUCCUCAAUCACGUGUUCCAGAUUUGGUAUUAUCGUCAUCUUCUUGCGUCCAUAUCUACCGUGGCAUCCUUGCAUUCAGAUCUUUUGAAGGUCAGACGUCGUCAUCGUGUUCCAAUCCAUUGAAGCUAUCGAUGACGUCAUGUCAAGAUAUGGCUUAGCUGCUGCUGUGAUAUCGAAUGAUCUGGAAAGAUGUGAACAUUUAACUAAGGUUUUUCAGGUGGGAAUUGUAUGGAUCAAUUGCUCUCAACCGUGCUUCACUCAAGUCCUAUGGGGAGGCAUUAAACAUAGUGGUCUUGGUCAUGAACUAGGAGAAUGGUAUGCUCUUAUUUGCUAAAUAAUAAAUGUAAGUCACUGUGAAUGCCUUUUAUAAUUUCUACAAGUGAUUGUGACAACGCUAUCUUGUUAUGAUGAAGAAAAUCCUCAUUACUCUGCACAUGUUUUGUUAAUGCUUUUAACAGACAUACUACAAAACUGACAAGACAAACAAGUGAAAAAUAUAUACUUGGAUGCAAACAGAAAGCAAGCGUACUUAUUUUCUCAAAUCUGUUACUUGUUGAGGACGAAUCUGAGUCUUCAAAUGCAAGUUAGGAAAGCAUAUUAUAAGUAAGGAGAACUGGUUUGUGGUCAACUUGGUGCUUUGUUGUGCUUUUUAAGUUGGUCAUGACAUCUUAUUUUAUCUGCUCUUCCUUGUGUGGUCUCAUUAGAGCAUAUAUGAGUUUAAGGAGAUUAGUGUCACUAAUUUGAGACAAAUGACAAUAAACUAGCACAAUAUCUAUCAAUUUACAGGUCAGGCAUAUUCCCUCUAGUGCUUCAUAUGCCAAGUUGCUCCUUUUUUUCUCCCUUGCAAACAUUAGAUUCUAGAGAAAGCACCUGGUUAUUAUACUGCAGAAUUCUAACUACAUAGGAGUAGUUGUGCAUGUUGUUGGAAAAGCACCAACUAAUUUAGGAAAAAUGUAGAAUUAGAAUAAAUCAAGAAAAAUCUAGAAAUUUUCUCAGCUGAAGCAAUACCACAAAGGCGGUGAAAGGAUGAUUCUAGAAUUAAUUAUUUUAAUCCUAUAAAGGCGGUAAAAGAGGAAAAUUGAGAAUGCUGUGGAGAAGCUCUCACGGACAUGGUUAAUGUAUAAAUAUGUGAGUGUGCGUCAUUGUGUCUAGCAGAGAGAAUGGAGAAAGAAGAAAGAAGAGUGUGUGAGAGUGAGGAAAGAAAGAGAAAAUAAGAAGUACGUGUGUGUAUAGCCUUGUAGAAUGUGAAUAGGUGGUGAGAAAAGUGAGAAAGAGUGUCAGCAAGAAAGAGAAGAAGAAAAAGAGUGAGGGAAAAUUACGAGAGAAGAUAUAAGUAUACGUAAAUUAUAGUUUGAGUGAGUAAUGAAAAUUUAUUUUCAGGUUAGUCCCUCUCUUCCUCCAUCAUCAAAUCCCAACAUUUGAUAUUAAAGCUAGAGCUACUGAGACAUAGCUGGGCUGCUCAAUAGUAGUUGGUAGAGUUUGAGUAUUUAGGCGGAAGACUUCGGGAGUUUAGAUUCACUCGAGGAUCUGCAAGUACACAGUCUGGGACUAUAGAGUAGAUCAGUUAGGGACCAGAUCCAUUUGGUGUAAGUGCAAGGCACUGUUGAGGUCAUCAUGGCAAACAUAACGUCGAAUGCUUGUUUAGUGGAGAAGCUAAACCAUGAGAAUUAUCAAGCAAUGAGUACAAUAGUUGAACUCUACCUUGCAAGUUAGAAUCUUUAGGAUCUUAUUGAUGGAGAUGACGCUACACCCCCAACAAAUCCAAGUGAAUUGAAGAAGUGGCAGGUAAGGGCUAAGAAAGCUCUUUACAUAGUGAUUGUUAUUGUUGAGCUAUAAUUCACUAGAUAUGUCAAAUAUGAUGCGAAGUUGCAGUUGUUGGAGAAUGAGCUUGCCUCAAUUUGACAAAAUGAUAUGUGGCUAAGUGAGUAUUUUUCAAAAGUUAAAUCUAUUUGUAAUGAGAUUUCAAAGUUAGAUCUAAGGAACCCUAUCACUGACGCAAGGAUGAGAAAAAUUAUUAUUAUGGGGUUAAACCCAAAAUAUCAUGGUCUAGUUACGGCAACAAGAGGUUGGUUUAAGGAACCAACUUUAGCUGAGUUGGAAAGUAUCCUAGCUAAUCAAGAAGCAUUGGAUACUCAAAUGUCCAAAGUUUUUUUGAAAGAUGAUGAAAAGGCUUUCUUUUGUAAAAAGAGAUAUCAAUGAGAGGAUUCCAACUCAAAGAAGGAGGGAGAUGAUAAAAGGCAACAAAAUGACUAGCAUAGAGGAUGUUGCAAUAGAAGCUCACAUCAAGGGGAUCUUGUGAAGAUUGAAACAAGCCUGAAGAGAGGAAAAACUAUCGAUAAAGAGGCCAAUGCUAUAAUUGAGGGAAUGUCGGCCACUUUGCUCGAGAUUGUUGGUAUAGAAUGGCUGAAGGAAAUGUUGUCACCUCCAGCAAUAAGACAGCGAGGAAGAAUGGGAUUUUCAGGCUUCAAGUACCAUUGAAGGAGAGAUAGCGAUAGAAGAUUUUAGUGAAGAAGAAAUAGAAAUGUCUUGCAUUUUGGAAGAAGCAAAUGAAGACAAGGAAGAGAGCAUUAAGGUAAACGAGAAUGAAGAUGCAAAUAAGGACGCAGAAGAUAUAGAGAAACUCAAUUUGGAGAAAGUAAUUGAAUCAUUUUGGUGUUCAGAGAUCAAUCAAGAAAAAAUAUGAAGAUCAAAACGAAGAACAUAGAGAGGAAGACCAAUCACCACCAUUUAUGGAGAUACAGAAGUCAAGUAUCAAGAAUGUUUCAAGGCACAAAAUGAAGACCAGUGCUUACGAGUCUCCUCAACAAGACAGAGUAGACUGCGACAAGUUUAAGAAACCGUUUAGGAGACUGAGAAAAACACGAAGCAAUUUGGCUUGGCAAAGAUGUUCCAAAAUUAGUCGGUGAGGGGAGUGUUGGAAAAGCACCGACUAAUUUAGAAAAAAUCUAGAGUUAGAAUAAAUCAAGAAAAAUCUAGAAAUUUUCUCAGCUGAAGCAAUAUCACAAAGGCGGUGAAAGGAUGAUUCUAGAAUUAAUUAUUUUAAUCCUAUAAAGGCGGUGAAAGAGGAAAAUUGAGAAUGCUGUGGAGAAGCUCUCACGGACAUGGUUAAUGUAUAAAUAUGUGAGUGUGUGUGUCAUUGUGUAUAGCAGGGAGAAAGAAAGAAAGAAAGAAGAAAGAAGAGUGUGAGAGUGAGAAAAGAAAGAGAAAAUUAGAAGUGCGUGAGGGUGUAGCCUUGUAAAAUAUGAAUAGGUGGUGAGAAAAGUGAGAUAGAGUGUCAGCAAGAAAGAGAAAAAGAGAAAGAGUUAGGGAAAAUUAUGAGUGAAGAUAUCAGUAUUUGUAUAAAUUAUAAUUUGAGUGAGUAAUGAAAAAUUAUUUUCAAUGGA